UGGGGAAUAUUGCACAAUGGAGGGAACUCUGAUGCAGCGACGCCGCGUGAACGAAGAAGGCUUUCGAGUCGUAAAGUUCUUUUAUAUGGGAAGAUAAUGACGGUACCAUAAGAAAAAGCCCCGGCUAACUACGUGCCAGCAGCCGCGGUAAUACGUAGGGGGCUAGCGUUGUCCGGAAUCACUGGGCGUAAAGGGUUCGCAGGCGGAAAUGCAAGUCAGGUGUAAAAGGCAGUAGCUUAACUACUGUAAGCAUUUGAAACUGCAUAUCUUGAGAAGAGUAGAGGUAAGUGGAAUUUUUGGUGUAGCGGUGAAAUGCGUAGAUAUUAAAAAGAAUACCGGUGGCGAAGGCGACUUACUGAGCUCAUUCUGACGCUGAGAAACGAAAGCGUGGGUAGCAAACAGG
rnacentral:rRNA from 1 species